AGAGCCACUUACCCAAGUGAACACAACAACAACAUACUGUGACAAGAAUUCUCUAAAAACCAACAUUUAUUGGUUGCCUACUAUAUAUAGUAGGCAGUAUCAUAUCAUAUAUGUUGAUAGUGAUACACUGAUACAUAUAAAAUGCAGUUCUAAUUGAAGCACAAAGUACAAGAUAACAAAGAGUACAGUAUAUAGUACAUAGUAUAGGGAUAUUAUAUACUAUAUUGCCAAAGUUCCUUCGAGAACUUGAUUCACACACAAAGUGAAGUGAGUUUGAGGAAUUAAUUGGAAAAUGCCAAAGGAUGGAAGUUGCCCUUUUCGAGGGAAUUCGCCCUUAAGAAGGACGGUUCGUCAUUCCCAGCAAUCUUUUAACUUAUUACAUAUUCUUUCUCCACCAUGAUUGAACCAAAAGGAAACAUUGACAAAAACGCACCAUCUAUGAAUCUCCACCACCUCCACUACCACAGAGGGCAGCGAGGGUUAUUCGAGAAGGGGGUGCAGUUUGGAGAGGGUUCGAGAAUGAAUGUUGGGUUGGGAGUUAUAGAAUGAAAGUGUGAGAUGACUUAUGUAUAUAAUAGCUAGUCUAGCUAGUGUGAGGGGGUGGCUUUUUGUCUAAGGUAACAUAAAUAAAACAGAAACAUGGCGAAAUGGAGAUUCUCAAUUCAGCAUCAUCUAA
rnacentral:lncRNA from 1 species